UACCGGAAAAGUUGGGUGUGUUGGUAUUUAAAGGCACUGAGACUGAAGGCUCGGGGUCUGCGGGACCCCGAAGGACUUACAUACGAAGUCGAACGUCGAUACAGGCAGCUGUAGUUGUCUGAGGUCUCAGGCUUCGUUUUGCUUCGGAGGGGCAAGCAAACCUAAGACCUGGCAGGCUAACUCGAGGGACUGCGCAGGACCGGCAGCCUAGCGCUCUACCUCGCUAGGCCCGGUAGGCUAGCUCUACCUCGCAAAGACCGGCAGCCUAGCCCAUUUUGUGACGGUGGCGGCGGUAGGAGGGACGGGCGGCGGCCGUGGUGGUAGGAGGGGCAGGCAGCGGCAGAGGACACCCAUUUGGCUCUUUUCGCUAGUUAGCCCGGUCUUGGGUCAGCGGUAGGGGCAGCGGGGGGAGGCGGCUCGAGAGAAGGAGCAGAAGGGGCAGAUGCUGGAGGACGAUGAGAGAAGCUGGUGGCGGUCGCGGGGUGGAGGAGAGGGUCUAGUUCCAGUCCGGUGGCGUAGGGAGGGAGUGAAGGAGGGAGGGAAGGAGCGCAGGCUUAGGGAUCGGUCGCCCUCCGGUACCGCUGGCUCGCCGUGUCCGUCGCGUCACGUCUAUUGGGGCGGCGGGGACGGCGGUGGCUGGAGGAGGGGUCGUGCGCGUGUGCCUGAGGGGGAGGAGGGCGGCGCCGGAGGAGGAAGGUGGGAUUGGGGUUGGGGUUUAGAUCGGCUAGACUGAGGAGGGGAGUGGAGGAAGGAGGAAGGUGGUGAGGUUGGAGGUGUCUCGGCGCCGGUACCGCUGGCUCGACGGAAGGGAGUGAGGGAGGAGCGUGCCCUUUGGGAUGGGGCGCCCGUUGGUACCGCUGGCUCGUCGUCGUCCGUUGGUUGGAGGUACUGUUCUGGAGCUGUUCCGACUAAACCUUUAGGGGGUCCAGUUACCCAUCGCCGGUACCUAGGUCGUUCUUUUCAUCCCUGAAGAGAACACCAACCGCACACCCUUAACGAAACCGUUCUCGAUACAAGUACUUGGGUUGGUAGCAAAACGAGUUACUCGGAUGGUUAGUAUAGCUAAACCUUUAGGGGCGGUUGGCUCGAUAGCAGACAAGCAGGGAGGGAGGAGCGCGGGCCUUGGGAUCGAGUGCCGGUACCGCUGGCAUGCGCAGCGUCCAUCCCGUCCUAGAAGUCGUGAGGUUGUGCAACUGUUCCUUCCGCCUACGCCGCUGCCUAUUCUACAAGUCCGUUUCGAAGGCACUCGCACCUAGGCUGCUCCAUCUUCUGCUCUACCUCCCACCCCUACGUCUUUCCUUCGGGGCGUACGGUGUGUACAAGACAUUUUAUGAGUGGUGGCGGCAAAGGAAUCGUGUGGUAACCGGUAGGGAAGUAGACAGUGCAAGGAUACCUCCGUAGGACCCGAUACGUUGUUUCAACUGCUCCGUUUGUUACAAGUUCUUUCGCCUUUCGGGUCGAUCGUACCGUUCGCUGGGAAAACAAAGAAAACUUUGUUGAAGAUGAAGCAGAACAGUUAUGGUACUACUAAAACCAAAGAGUUAGGACCAAUACUUAGAUAAUCUAAAACCACCCGUGACACGAAGAACGUUUUAGCGGUAUCUACGGCUGUCCGUACCACGGAGGAAAUUAGACACGUACUCGGUCCAACUGAUACUACACGAGUAGUAACUGAGGUGGUGGCGUCCAAAACUCCUACUAUUUAAAAGUACACCGAUGGUUACAAUAUUUGGUCUUAAGAGAAAGAUU
rnacentral:rRNA from 1 species